GGGUUCGCUACGUAAGCUCUGUUGGUAGUAGAAAGAAAGAUAGGAGGUAGUAACUGGCCUUUAUUUGACGGUAAUUACUUAGAAAGUCACGGCUAACUACGUGCC
rnacentral:rRNA from 1 species